rnacentral:rRNA from 1 species
AGAGUUUGAUCAUGGCUCAGGACGAACGCUGGCGGCGUGCCUAAUACAUGCAAGUCGAGCGAGCGGAACUAACAGAUUUACUUCGGUAAUGACGUUAGGAAAGCGAGCGGCGGAUGGGUGAGUAACACGUGGGGAACCUGCCCCAUAGUCUGGGAUACCACUUGGAAACAGGUGCUAAUACCGACGG